rnacentral:rRNA from 1 species
GACGAACGCUGGCGGCGUGCUUAACACAUGCAAGUCGAACGGAAAGGCCCUGCUUUUGUGGGGUGCUCGUGUGGCGAACGGGUGAGUAACACGUGAGUAACCUGCCCUUGACUUUGGGAUAACUUCAGGAAACAGGGGCUAAUACCGCAUAGGAGCUCCUGCUGCACGGUGGGGGUUGGAAAGUUUCGGCGGUUGGGGAUGGACUCGCGGCUUAUCCGCUUGUUGGUGGGGUAGUGGCUUACCAAGGCUUUGACGGGUAGCCGGCCUGAGAGGGUGACCGGCGACAUGGGGACUGAGAGACGGCGCAGACGCCAACGGGAGGCAGUGGUGGGGAGUAUUGCAGAAUGGGCGGAAGCCUGAUGCAGCAACGCCGCGUGCGGGAUGACGGCCUUCGGGUUGUGAACCGCUUUCGCCUGUGACGAAGCGUGAGUGACGGUAAUGGGUAAAGAAGCACCGGCUAACUACGUG